rnacentral:lncRNA from 1 species
AAAUACAUAUUUUAAAUUUAAGAUGGAUUUUAUAUCUCUUUUUCUUUUCUUUUUACUGAAAAUACAAAUCUGAAUAUGAAUAAAGUAACCAAGAUCAUCUGCAAUGAAAAAUAUCUUAAGUAUCAUGUAAAGAAAUUAAAAAAUGUAGCAAAAAAAUAAUAAUUAGAAAUUAAAAAUUAGAAAAAUGAAAAAUCAGGAGAGAAAGUAGAAAGAAUAUUUCGUGAGUUGAAAAAAUUAUUGAGAAACCCACUUAAAACAUGUCACAUUUUAAUUGGUCAAUAUAUAUAAUUAUUAAAAUAAAUAGUUGAGAAAGUUUUUAUGGAUGCUCUAACACAUCGCUUUUUUCCAACUGAUUAUAUUGAUCUAAGAUA